rnacentral:rRNA from 1 species
GGCGGCAUGCUUAACACAUGCAAGUCGCACGAAUUCUUUCGGGAGUUAGUGGCGGACGGGUGAGUAUCGCGUAGGGAUUUGUCGUUGGGUGGGGGAUAACCUUGGGAAACUGGGGCUAAUACCGCAUGACGCCUGUGGGCCAAAGCUUGUGAGAGCGCCUGACGAGGAGCCUGCGUCCGAUUAGUUAGUUGGUUGGGUAAUGGCUGACCAAGACGUCGAUCGGUAGCUGGUCUGAGAGGAUGAUCAGCCACACUGGGACUGAGACACGGCCCAGACUCCUACGGGAGGCAGCAGUGGGGAAUAUUGGACAAUGGGCGCAAGCCUGAUCCAGCAAUGCCGCGUGGAUGAAGAAGGUUUUCGGAUUGUAAAGUCCUUUCGGCGGGGACGAUGAUGACGGUACCCGCAGAAGAAGCCCCGGCUAACUUCGUGCCAGCAGCCGCGGUAAUACGAAGGGGGCUAGCGUUGCUCGGAAUGACUGGGCGUAAAGGGCGCGU